GAUGAACGCUGGCGGCGUGCCUAAUACAUGCAAGUCGAGCGAACAGACGAUGAGCUUGCUCCUCUGACGUUAGCGGCGGACGGGUGAGUAACACGUGGAUAACCUACCUAUAAGACUGGGAUAACUUCGGGAAACCGGAGCUAAUACCGGAUAAUAUAUUGAACCGCAUGGUUCAAUAGUGAAAUACGGUUUUGCGGUCACUUAUAGAUGGAUCCGCGCCGCAUUAGCUAGUUGGUAAGGUAACGGCUUACCAAGGCAACGAGGCGUAGCCGAACUGAGAGGGUGAUCGGCCACACUGGAACUGGGACGCGGUCCAGACUCCUACGGGAGGCAGCAGUAGGGAAUCUUCCGCAAUGGGCGAAAGCUUGACGGAGCAACGCCGCGUGAGUGAUGAAGGUCUUCGGAUCGUAAAACUCUGUUAUUAGGGAAGAACAAAUGUGUAAGUAACUAUGCACGUCUUGACGGUACCUAAUCAGAAAGCCACGGCUAACUACGUG
rnacentral:rRNA from 1 species